UCGAGAAUUUUUCACAAUGGGGGAAACCCUGAUGGAGCGACGCCGCGUGGGGGAUGAAUGGCUUCGGCCCGUAAACCCCUGUCAUUCGCGAUCAAAGCGCAUUGUUUAAGAGAUGAUGUGUUGAUAGUAGCGGAAGAGGAAGGGACGGCUAACUCUGUGCCAGCAGCCGCGGUAAUACAGAGGUCCCGAGCGUUGUUCGGAUUCACUGGGCGUAAAGGGUGCGUAGGUGGUGGGGUAAGUCGGAUGUGAAAUCUCGGAGCUCAACUCCGAAAUGGCAUUGGAAACUACCCUGCUGGAGGGUUGGAGGGGGGACUGGAAUUCUCGGUGUAGCAGUGAAAUGCGUAGAUAUCGAGAGGAACACCAGUGGCGAAGGCGAGUCCCUGGACAACACCUGACACUGAGGCACGAAAGCUAGGGGAGCAAACAGGAUUAGAUACCCUGGUAGUCCUAGCCGUAAACGGUGCGUGCUUGCUGUAAAAGGAAUCGA
rnacentral:rRNA from 1 species